rnacentral:rRNA from 1 species
UACGACUACAUAUCAGGCAUAUCAAUAAGCGGAGGAAAAGAAACUAACUAAGGAUUCCCUUAGUAACGGACGAGUGAAGCGGGAAGAGCUCAAAUUUGAAAUCUUCAAGGUUCUACCUUGACGAAUUGUAGUUUAAAGAAGUGUUUUCUGUUAGAGUUUGAGUAGCAAAAGUUCCUUUGGAAUAGGGACAUCAUAGAGGGUGAGAAUCCCGUAUUUGACCAUUAUUUUCUAGCUGUGUGAUACACUUUCAAAGAGUCGGAUUGUUUGGGAAUGCAGUCCAAAAUGGGUGGUAAAUUUCAUCUAAAGCUAAAUAUUGGCGAGAGACCGAUAGCGAACAAGUACCGUGAGGGAAAGAUGAAAAGAACUUUGAAAAGAGAGUUAAACAGUACGUGAAAUUGUCAAAAGGGAAGCGUUUGACACCAGUGUUGUUUAGUUGAAAAUCAAUUCAAUAGUUUUUGAUUCUAAGUAGUAUUGACUUCAUCAGCUUGCUGCUUUCUUCUCAGAAAUUAUUGAAUGCACUUUUCAGUUAACAAGUCAACAUCAAUUUCUUUUGUUGUAAAAGGGUAAGAGGAAGGUGGCUUGCGCUUCGGCUCAAGUGUUUAUAGCCUUUUAUCUCUGCAAUCGGAGAGAUUGAGGUCUGCAGCGUAGAUCCUUCGGGGUUAGAUACAUUGGUGCUAAGCUAUAGCCUUGUAUAGACAACUUGUUGACUAUGCUCAGUCAUGUAGCUUACUCGCUGAUGCUAUUUUACCUACGCUUAGGAUGUUGAUCUACAGAGCGAGAGU